UUAAAUAGAAAAGCUUUAAAAAUGCACUGGUCUUAGAGCCAAAUGAUGAAAAUCCAAAUGAAGAGGGGGGAUAUAUACUUAAAAGAU